AAACAAUCUGUGCAACCUUGACAAUGAAUAACCACUGCAGAAGCCUUGGAAAUAACCCCAGAGGUCAUCUACGCCAUGCCUACUUGAUGUUGACAGUACUUUGUGUUGCCAUGAUUAGUGCUUUUGCACUGUCUUUCAGUCCAGAUUUGUCCAGCCAUUGGUAAUAUUUCUCAAUAUCAGCCACUUCCUCUAUCUGUGAUCCUCUUGCCCUAUGACACCUGGGAUAGUCUGAAUGAGAUGGAUAAGUAGAAAGAAAAGGAUGCAAGGAUGGAUGGACUAUUAUAAGACAAAACCAUAACCAAAACCGAACUGAAUGCCGAACCUAGCAAAUAAUUAUAUAUUUGGUGGUAGAGUCUCUAGGCUGUCAUGACCAAAGGUCUUAAUAUAUGUAUUUGCUUGACAUCACUCGCUAUGUAACCACCAACAUUCACUUAAUACUGACAGAAUCCAUUAGAGUUUAUGCUGUAAUGAUACUUUUCACCCUGGCUGAAUAGAGGAGAAGCAAAUGAUGGCAGAAGAUGGAAAGAAAGAAAGAAAGAAAGAAAGAAAGAAAGAAAGAAAGAAAGAAAGAAGGAAAGAAGGAAAGAAAGAAGGAAAGAGAGAGAUGAGGGUACUAUAAGUGAUUAGGAAAGAUUUGACCUAGAGGGAUGGAAAACCCUAAGAAGGUAGCUAAACAUAGAGCAAAGAGGAGAAGAAAGACCAGGACAAGCGCAAAAAAAAAAAAAAGAGAGGUGGAUUAGAGGAAAAGAGGGAAUAGAAGAGAAUGGGAUUUUCAAGAAAUUUGUGAGAAAGAUGUAGGGAAAGAGCAGGAACAAAGAGUGGGAAUAGUGAGACUCAAAGGGACAGGAAAAAGCUGUCAAGGUCACUAAACAAGCAGCAGAAACAAGGACCUAAAGGGAUUGGCUGCAGUGCUGAACAGCAGUGACCUGUUAGUCAUGGUCACAUACACAAGCACACAAACAAAUAAGAGAAGAUAAAAUAAAAAUGAAGUGACUGGCAAAACCGAGAUGACAACAAUAUAAUGGAUGGCCCAAGAGGUGGAAAAAACCAAGCGAUGGAAACAAGCAGGAAUCGAGCUUGAAUUACGAGUCUACUUUUCUUUCAAGUGUACUAUUUUCCAGAAAGAGUAAAAGAUGCCACAUUAAUGUAGGAAGUUUACAUUUUUGUUUGAAAUGUAGUCCACAUCAACACCACAUGUCUAAAAUUAAAUCUAAUGAGCUUAUGUUUUUUUUCCUCCUCCAAGCUAAACAAAUUUGGGUCAUUCCAGUUUGCUUGAGAAUCAUGUUGUUUUUUGUAAAUGUGCCACCAAAAUGCUGAAAACCAC
ensembl:lncRNA